rnacentral:rRNA from 1 species
GCCCUAGUAACGGCGAGUGAAGCGGCAACAGCUCAAAUUUGAAAUCUGGCGCAAGCCCGAGUUGUAAUUUGUAGAGGAUGCUUCUAGGUUGCGGCCGGUCUAAGUUCCUUGGAACAGGACGUCACAGAGGGUGAGAAUCCCGUAUGUGACCGGCUUGCACCUUCUACGUAGCUCCUUCGACGAGUCGAGUUGUUUGGGAAUGCAGCUCUAAAUGGGAGGUAAAUGUCUUCUAAAGCUAAAUACCGGCCAGAGACCGAUAGCGCACAAGUAGAGUGAUCGAAAGAUGAAAAGCACUUUGGAAAGAGAGUUAAAAAGCACGUGAAAUUGUUGAAAGGGAAGCGCAUGCAACCAGACUUGUCGGCGGUGUUCCGCCGGUCUUCUGACCGGUCUACUCGCCGCCGACAGGCCAGCAUCGUCUGGGGGCGCCGGAGAAAGGUGCCAGGAAUGUAGCUCCUCGGAGUGUUAUAGCCUGGCACACAAUACGGUGACUCCCGGGCGAGGUCCGCGCUUCGGCUAGGAUGCUGGCGUAAUGGUUGCCUGCGACCCGUCUUGAAACACGGACCAAGGAGUCGACCAUCUGUGCGAGUGUUCGGGUGUUAAACCCCUACGCGUAAUGAAAGUGAACGGAGGUGGGAACGCAAGUGCACCAUCGACCGAUCCUGAUGUCCUCGGACGGAUUUGAGUAAGAGCAUAGCUGGUCGGACCCGAAAGAUGGUGAACUAUGCCUGAAUAGGGUGAAGCCAGAGGAAACUCUGGUG